CGGCGAGUGAGCGGCAACAGCUCAAAUUUGAAAUCUGGCCUCGGCCCGAGUUGUAAUUUGCAGAGGAAGCUUUAGGCGCGGCACCUUCUGAGUCCCCUGGAACGGGGCGCCAUAGAGGGUGAGAGCCCCGUAUAGUUGGAUGCCUAGCCUGUGUAAAGCUCCUUCGACGAGUCGAGUAGUUUGGGAAUGCUGCUCAAAAUGGGAGGUAAAUUUCUUCUAAAGCUAAAUACCGGCCAGAGACCGAUAGCGCACAAGUAGAGUGAUCGAAAGAUGAAAAGCACUUUGAAAAGAGGGUUAAAUAGCACGUGAAAUUGUUGAAAGGGAAGCGCUUGUGACCAGACUUGCGCCGGGCUGAUCAUCCGGUGUUCUCACCGGUGCACUCUGCCCGGCUCAGGCCAGCAUCGGUUCUCGCGGGGGGAUAAAGGCCCAGGGAACGUAGCUCCUCCGGGAGUGUUAUAGCCCUGGGUGUAAUGCCCUCGCGGGGACCGAGGUUCGCGCAUCUGCAAGGAUGCUGGCGUAAUGGUCACCAGCGAC
rnacentral:rRNA from 1 species